rnacentral:rRNA from 1 species
AUACGAAGGGUGCGAGCGUUAAUCGGAAUUACUGGGCGUAAAGCGCGCGUAGGCGGUUGGAUAAGUCGGAUGUGAAAGCCCCGGGCUCAACCUGGGAAUUGCAUUCGAAACUCCCCGGCUAGAAUAUGGUAGAGGGAAGCGGAAUUCCACAUGUAGCGGUGAAAUGCGUAGAUAUGUGGAGGAACACCAGUGGCGAAGGCGGCUUCCUGGACCAAUACUGACGCUGAGGUGCGAAAGCGUGGGGAGCAAACAGGAUUAGAAACCCUAGUAGUCC